rnacentral:rRNA from 1 species
GAUGAACGCUGGCGGCGUGCCUAAUACAUGCAAGUCGAGCGAACAGACGAGGAGCUUGCUCCUCUGACGUUAGCGGCGGACGGGUGAGUAACACGUGGAUAACCUACCUAUAAGACUGGGAUAACUACGGGAAACCGGAGCUAAUACCGGAUAAUAUAUUGAACCGCAUGGUUCAAUAGUGAAUGACGGUUUUGCUGUCACUUAUAGAUGGAUCCGCGUCGCAUUAGCUAGUUGGUAAGGUAACGGCUUACCAAGGCGACGAUGCGUAGCCGACCUGAGAGGGUGAUCGGCCACACUGGAACUGAGACACGGUCCAGACUCCUACGGGAGGCAGCAGUAGGGAAUCUUCCGCAAUGGGCGAAAGCCUGACGGAGCAACGCCGCGUGAGUGAUGAAGGUCUUCGGAUCGUAAAACUCUGUUAUUAGGGAAGAACAAAUGUGUAAGUAACUAUGCACGUCUUGACGGUACCUAAUCAGAAAGCCACGGCUAACUACGUG